AACAGUGAUGUCGUCAUUUGCGUCUUACUGUAUUUUCAGCUACAGUAGCCUAAAAUUCUUACUGAGUA
rnacentral:snoRNA from 1 species